AACUUUCAACAACGGAUCUCUUGGUUCUGGCAUCGAUGAAGAACGCAGCGAAAUGCGAUACGUAGUGUGAAUUGCAGAAUUCAGUGAAUCAUCGAAUCUUUGAACGCACAUUGCGCCCUUUGGUAUUCCAAAGGGCAUGCCUGUUCGAGCGUCAU
rnacentral:rRNA from 56 species